GUCAUUCCAGCCCUUCCAUGGCUUCUCUCAUCUCCCACCUUCCAUUCCCUCUCAUCACCUUCUAUCGAUCCUUUCUCAUCUUCUCUACCUCCUCUCCGAUCUCGUGCAUAUCAACAACAGCAAGAAAAGAAAAAAAGAUAAGGCUAUAUAUUCUUUUUCAUGGAUCCAAUAAAACAGUUUUUCCUUUGUGUUUUUUAGAUUUUCUAAACAGAACCCCUCUCUCUCUCUCUCUCUCUCUCUCACGCACACGCAUAUAAGGUAUUCAUAGGAUUUUCCAGGAACUUUUGUCAGAGCAAUCUUCUUGUGCCUUUGACUUCCACGACAAUUGGUAGACCCCCUCGUGUCAGAAGGAAAUCUUGGCAAACCGAUCAUCAUAUCUUCAAUAUCUACCACCUCUCUCCCUAUCUCUCUCCCCCUCCUCCCUCCCUCUCUCCCAACGAAAUGAAUAGGAAGAACUCCAACAAAAGCCGUAACCCUAAUAAGCCCACGUUGGCCUUCUAUUUUCUAAG
rnacentral:lncRNA from 1 species